rnacentral:snRNA from 1 species
GUGUUAGCUUCAAGACCUCACAUGUUAAAAUUAGAACAAAGUAGAGAAAAUUACCCAUGGCCACUGCAUAAAGGUAAAAUGUGAACUUGUGGAGGAGUCCAUAUUUUG